CACGCAGGCGGUUUGUUAAGUCAGAUGUGAAAUCCCCGGGCUCAACCUGGGAACUGCAUCUGAUACUGGCAAGCUUGAGUCUCGUAGAGGGGGGUAGAAUUCCAGGUGUAGCGGUGAAAUGCGUAGAGAUCUGGAGGAAUACCGGUGGCGAAGGCGGCCCCCUGGACGAAGACUGACGCUCAGGUGCGAAAGCGUGGGGAGCAACAGGGAUUAGAUACCCUGGUAGUCCACGCCGUAAACGAUGUCGACUUGGAGGUUGUGCCCUUGAGGCGUGGCUUCCGGAGCUAACGCGUUAAGUCGACCGCCUGGGGAGUACGGCCGCAAGGUUAAAACUCAAAUGAAUUGACGGGGGCCCGCACAAGCGGUGGAGCAUGUGGUUUAAUUCGAUGCAACGCGAAGAACCUUACCUGGUCUUGACAUCCACGGAAGUUUUCAGAGAUGAGAAUGUGCCUUCGGGAACCGUGAGACAGGUGCUGCAUGGCUGUCGUCAGCUCGUGUUGUGAAAUGUUGGGUUAAGUCCCGCAACGAGCGCAACCCUUA
rnacentral:rRNA from 1 species